rnacentral:rRNA from 1 species
ACGCAGGUGGGGAUGUGCUGCACGCGGACGGAAGUGCGUGUCUAAGCGGCGAGCGGGCGAUUAUAGGGAAAUCCGUAGUCGUGUUGAGGAAGCCGUGAUGGGGACGGGUAUUGCACCCGGAAGUGUACGUCGUCGGACUGCCAAGAAAGCCUCUAGGAGUGUGUGGGUGCCCGUACCGUAAACCGACACAGGUGGGCGAGGAGAGAAUCCAAAGGUGAGCGAGAUAACGUUCGUUAAGGAACUCGGCAACAUAGCCCCGUAACUUCGGGAGAAGGGGUGCUCCUACGGGAGUAGGAGCCGCAGUGAAGAGGCCCAGGCGACUGUUUACCAAAAACACAGGUCUCUGCAAAGCCGAAAGGCGAAGUAUAGGGGCUGACGCCUGCCCGGUGCUGGAAGGUAAAGGGGAAGGGUUGACGCUCUGAACCGAAGCCCCAGUAAACGGCGGCCGUAACCGUAACGGUCCUAAGGUAGCGAAAUUCCUUGUCGGGUAAAUUCCGACCUGCACGAAAGGCGUAACGGUCUGGGCACUGUCUCAACGAGCGACUCGGUGAAAUUGCAAUGUCUGUGAAGAUGCAGACGACCCGCAGCAAGACGGAAAGACCCCGUGGAUCUUUACUGCAGCUUGGUAUCGAGCCGGUGGCGUACAUGUACAGGAUAGGUGGGAGUCUAUGAAGGGUUGGCGCUAGCUGACCUGGAGACGUUGGUGGGAUACCACCCUUGUGCGACGCUGGUUCUCACUGAUAUUCCUCAACGGGAUACAGGAAUGUGCCAGGUGGGCAGCUUGACUGGGGCGGUCGCCUCCUAAAGAGUAACGGAGGCGUUCUAAGGUUCCCUCGGCGUGGCUGGAAAUCGCGCGAAAGAGUGCAAAGGCAAAAGGGAGCUUGACUGCGAGACGUACAGGUCGAGCAGGGACGAAAGUCGGACUUAGUGAUCCGGUGGUACCGCGUGGGCGGGCCAUCGCGCAACGGAUAAAAGUUACCCCGGGGAUAACAGGCUAAUCUCCCCCGAGAGUCCACAUCGGCGGGGAGGUUUGGCACCUCGAUGUCGGCUCAUCGCAUCCUGGGGCUGAAGGAGGUCCCAAGGGUUGGGCUGUUCGCCCAUGAAAGCGGUACGCGAGCUGGGUUCAGAACGUCGUGAGACAGUUCGGUCCCUAUCUGCUGCGGGCGUAGGAAGCUUGAAGGGGUCUGUCCCUAGUACGAGAGGACCGGGAUGGGCAUGCCGCUGGUGUACCUGUUGCUUCGCCAGAAGCACGGCAGGGUAGCUAAGCAUGAACGGAGAAGCGCUGAAGGCAUCUAAGCGCGAAGCCGGCCCUAAGAUGAGGCUUCCCGCCGCAUUAAGCGGGUAAGACACCUUGAAGACGACGAGGUAGAUCGGUCCGGUGUAGAAGCGCUGUGAGGCGUGAAGCAAACGGAUACGAAUCAGUCGAGGGUUUGACC